rnacentral:lncRNA from 1 species
CAUGGCUGCCACAGGGACAUAGGAACAGGAAAGGGGGCCUUGGACUAGGAAGCUGUCCUAGGGAAAGGGAGGCAGCACAGCUAACCACCAGGAGACUGGGCACACCUACGGGAUGCAUGCAGACAGGAUCAAGUUUGUUCUGAGGAAGAGUUCAGACCUCAAACCCUGGUGUCCUGCCUGCCUGCCGCUCAGAGGAGAGAGAGAGCCAGCAGGCACCACCCACCCAGCCCGGAAGAGACCAGAGAGCAGAGUCCUCAACGCCCAGGGCUUUCCGAGAGAUCACAGGUCUGAAAAGGAGCAGCUUCGGGGAGAAGGGCAAGCAUCCCCUGACAUAGCCCGGCCUCCUUGUCUGGAUUAAUCACGGGAUCUCCACGGCUGCUGCUAUCUAACUGAUGCCAAAACAUGUCUUCCCCCCCCCCCAUUCCCUUUUGUACCUUAGGGAAUCAGCUGUAGUAAAAGACACAUGGCUCCUGUGUGGACUAACAGUGAGAAAAUCUACUUCUGGGCCCUGAAGAUGGCAGCCCAGUUCCUAUGAGUGUGUCUACAAAUGUGCCUGUGUGUCUGAGUGUGUAUAUGUGUACACACAGAAAGGAGACUUUUGUCCACAUCUCUGGUGUACGAACAAGGAUUUGGGGGAGCUGGAACAUUUGUCCCUCCAUACACAUAAGAUGUGAGCCAUACGUUGACAUUCAGACAAAAUUGCGUGUCUCCUUGUUACAGACAAAGGAUGAUGAAAUGAAA